GCCCUCGUAGCUCAGCGGACAGAGCACCGGAUUUCGGAUCCGGGUUGUCGCAGGGUUCGAAUCCCGCCGAGUGUGC
rnacentral:tRNA from 1 species